rnacentral:tRNA from 1 species
GGGCUCGUGGUUUAGUGGUAUAAUACUCCCUUAGCAUGGGAGUGGUCCGGGGGUAAGUCACAACUCGCACCUUCAAGAUAAGGUUACAGUCGUACUAACAAUCUGCUUAGUUCGAUUCCCCGCGAGUCCA